GAUUUUGAUGUUAUUGGAUUCAUAUCCCUGUCUUGAAUCUCACGCAUAAUAUAUACAAGUAUACAAGCAGACCUUUGAUAGCCGUCCCCAUACAAAGACAUGGGUUUCUCUAAGCAUUGCUUCUUCUAUCUAUGGCUCUUGGUUUCUUUCCAAGCUCACAUCUCCUCCUCCAUACAUGCUCGACCUCUUUCAGUUCAAGAUCAACAAAGGUAUGUGAAAGUGUUGGCCACACUCGGAGUCGUUUGUAGGUGCUGCGAUGGUGCCAGAGGUGAAUGUAAGAGUACAUGGGACUCCUCCUGCCUAAAUCUCGAUUGUAGACCUUGGAAAUUGCAUUGAUUUUAUGUGGGCUAUUGGAUUUUGUAAGUUCGGAUGUAUGGAUUACUUAUUUGUACUAGACUCUUUUAAAACCAUCUGAUAUGUUUGUUUUGUGA